rnacentral:antisense_RNA from 1 species
CUUGACCGAGCCGAGCAGCAGCGGCCGGUCCUCGGGCCGGUCCCGGCCGUAGGUGGCGAGCAGGGCCUGGCCCUC